AUCUAUGGCCACACCACCCUGAAUGCACCUGAUCUUGUCUGAUCUCAGAAGCUAAGCAGGGUCGGGCCUGGUUACUACUUGGAUGGGAGAAAUCCUCAAGCAGAGUUA
rnacentral:rRNA from 1 species